rnacentral:rRNA from 1 species
UUAGAUUAGUAGUAAUAAUAAUAAAAAUAAAUUAAUUUAAAUUUUUAAAUUUAAUAAAUUUGGCGGUAUUUUAAUCUAUUUAGAGGAAUCUGUUUUUUAAUUGAUAAUCCUCAUUUUAUCUUACUUAAUUUUAUAAAAUUUGUAUAUCGUUGUCAUAAAAAUAUCUUAUUAGAGAAAAAAUUUUUUUGAUAAUAAAUUAAUUAAAAUGUCAAAUCAAGGUGCAGUUCAUAAUUAAGUAAAAAUGGGUUACAUUAAAAUUAUUUUUUGGAUUUUAAAUUUAAAAUUUUAAAUGAAAUUGGAUUUAAUUGUAAAUUUAUAAAGAAUAAUAAAUUGAUAAAAGUUUUAAAAUGUGC